UUCCCGGGAAGGAAUCUUCAAAUACUGCGUGUUGAAAGCGCCUGGCUAAUGCGGGACUGACCGUAGUUUGCCAAAUUAAGAAAACGCUGGGAGAGCAUGAACACAUCCCACCACUACCACAAAUUAUGCAGCCUAGCUUUCCACAUUGGGGAAAUCAUGAGUGUCUGCAUAUCCGAGUGCAACGGGGUUGGAAAAACAACCUUUGUGAUUGUGGUAUCUCCCCUACCAGAUAUACAUCUACUCACAGAUAUACACAGAUAUACCAAGAAGAGCAGGCACCUAGUCUAUUAAAGGUAUGGUUGAGACAAU